ACCCAAAUAGCUCAGUUGGGAGAGCGUUCGACUGUAGAUCGAAAGGUCCCUGGUUCGAUCCCGGGAAUCGGCA
rnacentral:tRNA from 1 species